rnacentral:rRNA from 1 species
CGGUAAUUCCAGCUCCAAUAGCGUAUACUAAAGUUGUUGCAGUUAAAAAGCUCGUAGUUGGAUUUCUGCGGGGACGGAGCGGCCGGACGCAACUUGCGUCUCGAGCUAGCGCUUUCCCCGCAUCCUGCCGCGAACCGUGCUACCAUUAGCUUGGUGGCGCUGGGGAUCGGCUCGAUUACUUUGAGAAAAAUAGAGUGUUCAAAGCAGGCCACACGCCUUGAAUAAGUUAGCAUGGAAUAAUGACUAAGGACUUCGGUUCUAUUUUGUUGGUGUUCGGGACUGAAGUAAUGAUUGAUAGGGACAGUUGGGGCGGUCUGUAUUCCAAAGCGAGAGGUGAAAUUCUUAGACCUUCGGAAGACAAACAGCUGCGAAAGCGUUCCGCAAGGAUGUUCCCUUUGAUCAAGAACGAAAGUUGGGGGAUCGAAGACGAUCAGAUACCGUCGUAGUCUCAACUAUAAACUAUACCAGCUAGGGAUCGGUCAACGUUUAAUCAUUCGACUUGAUCGGCACCUUAUGAGAAAUCAAAGCAUCUGGGUUCCGGGGGGAGUAUGGUCGCAAGGCUGAACCUUAAAGGAAUUGACGGAAGGGCACCACCAGCCGUGGAGCCUGUGGCUUAAUUUGACUCAACACGGGAAAACUUACCAGGUCCAGACAUAGUAAGGAUUGACAGAUUGAUAGCUCUUUCUUGAUUCUGUGGGUGGUGGUGCAUGGCCGUUCUUAGUUGGUGGAGUGAUUUGUCUGGUUAAUUCCGUUAACGAACGAGACCCCAGCCUGCUAAAUAGCGCGGCUGAGCUUUGCUCGGUGCGAGCUUCUUAGAGGGACUAUGAUGCGCGAUAGCACAUGGAAGUUUGGGGCAAUAACAGGUCUGUGAUGCCCUUAGAUGUUCUGGUCCGCACACGGGCUACACUGGCGCCUGCAACGAGCAUAUCAGCUGGCCCGAGAGGGUCUUGGCUAAUCUUUUGAACCGGCGCCGUGCUUGGGAUUGACCAUUGCAAUUGUUGGUCAUGCAACGAGGAAUGCCUUGUAAACGCGAGUCAUCAGCUCGCAUUGAAUACGUCCCUGCCCUUUGUACACACCGCCCGUCGCUCCUACCGAUGAAUGUUCCGAUGAAAUUUUCGGAGAGCGCCAGAGAACGGGGCUCUGCCUUGCAGAUCUGGAGGCUCAAAGUCACUUAAAUCUGAACAUUUCGAGGAAGGAGAAGUCGUAACAAGGUAACC